rnacentral:rRNA from 1 species
UACGGAGGGUGCAAGCGUUAUCCGGAUUCACUGGGUUUAAAGGGUGCGUAGGUGGGUUGGUAAGUCAGUGGUGAAAUCCCCGAGCUUAACUUGGGAACUGCCAUUGAUACUAUCGGUCUUGAAUAUUGUUGAGGUAUGCGGAAUGGGUCAUGUAGCGGUGAAAUGCAUAGAUAUGACCCGGAACACCAAUUGCGAAGGCAGCAUGCUAAACAAAGAUUGACGCUGAGGCUCGAAAGCGUGGGGAUCAAACAGG